AUUGAACGCUGGCGGCAUGCUUUACACAUGCAAGUCGAACGGUAACAGGGUGCUUGCACCGCCGACGAGUGGCGAACGGGUGAGUAAUGCGUCGGAACGUGCCGAGUAGUGGGGGAUAACGCAGCGAAAGUUGUGCUAAUACCGCAUACGUACUGAGGUAGAAAGUGGGGGACCUUCGGGCCUCACGCUAUUCGAGCGGCCGACGUCUGAUUAGCUAGUAGGUGAGGUAAAGGCUCACCUAGGCGACGAUCAGUAGCGGGUCUGAGAGGAUGGUCCGCCACACUGGGACUGAGACACGGCCCAGACUCCUACGGGAGUCAGCAGUGGGGAAUUUUGGACAAUGGGCGAAAGCCUGAUCCAGCCAUGCCGCGUGUCUGAAGAAGGCCUUCGGGUUGUAAAGGACUUUUGUCAGGGAGGAAAUCCCUAGUGCUAAUAACACUGGGGGAUGACAGUACCUGAAGAAUAAGCACCGGCUAACUACGUGCCAGCCGCCGCAGUAAGAC
rnacentral:rRNA from 1 species